rnacentral:lncRNA from 1 species
CCCUUCUUCUGUCAGGUGCAGAUAUUCAGCCAUGACCAUGAAUACCUACAGGUUGCCGUUUCCCCGUUUUGGCAUCAGCUGCCUUGGAAAUGAUUUUCUUGUGUUGUGCAAAGGAGCUCUACUGACACAGAGACUCUGCCCUGAGGGAUUUGCAGUGGAUUUACAGUCUAAUUAAUAAGGAAUAAAAGGUGACUUGUGGAAAUACUAACUGUGUUGAGAUCUGUGAUCCCUGAUCCCUGGGUGGGACAGAAGGUUGUAGUAGGUGGGGUUGGCUGCAUGUGCUCAAUGUGUGCUUGGUCCCACGGGGAUGGCCAAGAAAGGAAUGUGAAGUUUUACCAGAGCAGCUACAGCAUUUGGAGCUGGCAGUGCAGGAGCAGAGUUACGUCAUCUUCUCUCAUAUUUUUCUUACUCACAUCUGAAAGUAUGAGGAAAUAGUCUUCUUCAGAAGAGUAUUUUGAAUAUCAAUAACCUGCUUCAUUGAACAUCUCAAAAGGCUCUAUAUAGAGUCAUUAAGUGCAAUUCCUGUCACACUCAUACUCAUGGAGAAGUUGGUAACUGAGCCCAGAAGAAUACACCCAGGAGACCUGACCCCUUGAACUCUUUCUUAACCUGCAAAUUACAUUUUCCUUAAAAACAAAUAAAUGACCCUAAAAAUCCUUCAGAAGCUUUAGUUACAGAAAGAACAGCAAGAAGCACAGUCUUAGUGACAUCACAAAACCCCAUACUUAGGCUGGAACUUUUAGAAAUGUUCAAGUGCAUGUGUGGAAGCAUAACUGUAACUGUGUGGCUUUGGGAAGUCAUGGCAUGCCCAGUCUAUUACUUGCUUCAGUAGCUGGGUGCAACUAGUUCAGCAUUCAUAAAAACAGCAAACUGGCUGAGAAACAAGGAUGUGUGAAUUCAUGUGAGUACAACAUUUCUCCAAUGUCUGAUAUUUCCUCUUUGCUAAUAUGAUGAUAUCUGAGGCUGGAAGCCUGGAAAGUCUGGCAAAUCAUGCUGGCAAACUGGAAAAGUAUGACAGUAUUCUUUUGAUUCUGAACACAGAUACCUUGAUAGUAUGCAAGUGUUUUUAUUGUAGGGCACAUCAUAACUCAGAAGAGGAGGAGAGGAAACCCGAAGAGAAAAUGGAAUUAAAUAAAGUCAGAUGGCUCCCCAUAAAGAAAGAUUACCACAUUCAUGCAGUUCCAUCAUACUUUCAGACUUCUUGGAACCUCUGCAGGUACUUCUGUCAACUUACUACAAGAUCCACUUACCCUCAUUUGAGCACCUAGAAGCCACAACUGAGAUCAAAGACAAAAUCAGCCUUGUGUUCCAACAGUAAAAACAAGCACAAGAUGAGAAAGAGAAGGAUUAUGAGAGUGAGGGGACGUGAAAAUGGAUGUCAUGUGUGGCUUUCACCAUCCAAAUCCACGGUUCUGAGUGAACAGCCCUCACCUCCAGCAUGCUUCCUCCAGCACUAUUGACUUGCAAAGUGAUAUUAAUUCACGUAUGCUGUGUAUACAAAUAUGUUUCUCUGGAGUUAUUUUUUUACAGAUUUGGGGAUCAUCUGGUUUCCAACAUUGCCUUUGCAGCUUGGAGGUUUGUAUCUGCACAGUACUUGAUCCAAAGGAUUGUUGAAUGCUGUAUGCCAUUCUUCCACUCCAUUUCAUUUCAUUCUGUCUAACAAAUAUAAGCCUUCCUGGUCCUAAAUGAUACAAAAAAGUACAAUGUAGAAGUGUUUAUUAAACUGAUUCACAUCAAGCCAUCCUGGAUGCUGUAACGGGUAGAGCUUCACUGCUCUUCAGCACUCCACCUAACUUGUUUGGAUUUGGUGAGAAAUGGGAUCUAUUUGCUGCAGAAGAGUCACAUUAAUGGUUUGUGCUGAUAUUCAAGUUAGCUUCUGCAGGUCCAGCUUAUUAGCUAGCACUGUGCCCUGCAGAGCUCAUCCUCCAUCCCCAGAGGAAAAUUGUGACAGCAGUAUGCCUUCCUUACCACACCAGUCUAAAAAUAAGACACCAGAACAACAGGCAGCAGAACAAUUUCUGCAAGAUGUUUAUGUCCUAAGCUCUUGGCCAACUUCUUUCCUAAGCUGCCACAUUGCCCUGCCUGCCUGAAUCCCAUCUACAGCUUCAAGAGUUUCCAUCUCAUCUUGUGCACACACCAUGAAUAACUGCCUUGUUAUGUAUAUGUGCUAUGGAAGGGUGGGGUGGAAAAAUCUCUGGUAGGAGCCUGUCUUGAGCUUGCAGUAAAUACUUACCCAACAGAAACAUCAAUGAGAUUUGGCAGCUGUGAGGAGGACUUCUGGAAAAUGGUUUCAGGUUCCUAGGAAGUGAGGGAGGCAUUCAGUAAUGGGUGGGGAUAUUUUUUCUUUCCCUUGCCAUUUCUUGUCAGAGAAAGGUGAAGACCUAAUUCCUCCUUACUCAUAUAAGGAAAUCCCCUGUAUGGAGAAACAAUAUCCUUUGUACCUAGUCUAUGAUUGUACCAUCUUUAGAGAAGUCUCAGGAGGAAGUUGUAUAGUUGUUACACUUGUAUAGUGUAAUACCAGAUCUGUCCCUCUCCAACAGCCCUGGUAGCUGUGGGAAUCAUACAGGCAGCCUGUCCAGGAAUGUCAUUCAGAGUAAGCAGAGAGCACAGUAAAAGCUAUCAGGAGAUACCACUUUAAAUCACUGAAUUUUUUCUGAUUUUGUAACCCUCUUAACUUCUGUGCAGUACUUGCAAGGUAAAGUAAUAUUUUGUCUUCCUCUUCUUCACUGUAUUUCAUUGUCUGCCUUGGCAUUAGCCCAUCAUUAUCUAGAAAUAAAAUUUGAGGAUUAAGGCUCCA